rnacentral:rRNA from 1 species
UACGUAGGGUGCGAGCGUUAAUCGGAUUUACUGGGCGUAAAGCGCGCGUAGGCGGUGCGGUAAGUCAGGGGUUAAAGGCUGCAGCUCAACUGCAGUAAGGCCUUUGAUACUAUCGCGCUAGAGUACCAGAGAGGAUGGCGGAAUUCCCGGUGUAGCGGUGAAAUGCGUAGAGAUCAGGAGGAACACCGGUGGGGAAGCCGGCCAGCUGGACGGUUCCUGACGCUGAGGCACGAAAGCGUGGGGAGCAAACCGG